rnacentral:misc_RNA from 1 species
GUUUCCGGCUGUCAUCGACAUCGGAUUUUGAGAGUGGGUCUAGGUGUUCAUCAUUAACAUGUUAACAUACAAACAUUUAAGUGGCAAAGCACCUGUCCUUACCAUGAAGAAAUGUUCUCAUGGAUGGCAUGAGGGUUUGAUGAAAUAAUUCAACCACAGACUGCAGUCGAAAGAAAGUGAAAUAUUCUCCAUAUAAACUGAAGAAUGAACAUAAUAAAGACCCUUUACCAUGAAGUCUACACUCUCCGAGACUGGUUUGAUAAUUAUCUUAUCGAGUCCUUUAAUGCCAACAUCUGGCAGGCUGGUGACUCGGACAGUUUUACAAGAUUCCUUGACACAACAAUGGUGGCAAUACCUCGGGGAGCCAAGCGUUUAUCAGUCACACCAACCCUCAGUCAGAACUCUCACCAAAGGGAGAUAAUCAUGAGAGUCAUAGAGAGACUCAACAGGAGGGAAGGAAGUGGCCAGAAUGUCCUUUCACUGGGUUUUGGACAGGUGUCUGAUGACCCAGAUGCGUACAUGUCCAAUGUUGCUAGAGUGGAGUAUCGCCAUCCAAACAGUGCAGUCAACAGACUUCACUUCCCCGAGUGGAAGAAAGUCUUGUCAAGGAUUGGGGAUACAAUGAUGGAAUAUCUUUUGGAGACUACUUCUAUCUUCACGUUUGUACCACCAUCUAACUAUGUCCAGUUAACAGGUAGACCUGUUUUUGAGCUGUGGAAACCUAGCCUCUCGGUCAAGUGUCCUCAAAAAGUUCUCUCUGUAAAAAGAUCCAAGAGAAAACACUGUGCACCUUUAGUCAAACAUUUGAGUAUGGAAACCGAUUCCACUCAAACACUCAAAUCCUGCAUUGCAAAGGACUUGGAGGAUCUGAAAGCCAAGGCAAAGACCUAUGCCAGGGAUCAAGGGUUCCCAAAAGAUUUUCCCCGAAGAAAGAAGCAGAAUCACCAGAAAAAUGAGGCCAUGGAUUCAACCAGUGAUGUAAAAGAUAGAGAGGAGAAAUGUUUGGAGGAGAAUAAAAUAGAACGGGGAGCAAAUGCUACAAGUCAAGUGUUCAAACAAGAUGAUUUUGAUAUGAAGCAGGAGGGUUAUGGAAAUUGGGAUGGUGAUUUUGAUGGAAAGCAGGUGGUUGAUUUUGAUGUCAAUGAAGAAGAUGAUGGAAACCAGGAGGAAGAUUUUAAUGAAAACAAAGAGUGUGAUAAUGAAAGAUGGCUCAGGCCUAAAGUCAGCAAGAAAGAUAAAAGAAAAAGACAACGGCAGCAGAGUAGGGAAAAAAAGGCUUAUGCUUGGAUGCAGAAGAUUCAAAGUGGAGAACAGGAAGCUGGUGGCAGUCAGGGUCAAAUAAGGAAUUCAUUUGGCGGCUCAAAAAAAGAACGGCGGAAGAUGCAGAGGUUUGAAAGGAGACUGGCAAAAAGUACCGGUUUGGCGGAGGAUUAUGCUACACGUUGGGGUAUCAGUGACAGCAGCUACAGUCAGCAGGACAAUGAGGGCCAACAUGACGGUGAAGCUUCUAGUUCUAGAUGGAAGAGGCAGAAACAAACAGCAACAAACGAAGAAUAUAAAACUUCAUCCAGUUUACCCACUGUCCAGCCAUCAUUUGAAGGAAGGCCUCGGUGGAGACACCCUUACACUGCAGAACCGUCACAACAGUUUGCUUCAUCUAGGCCUCAAUCGCAUCAGUUUAGUUCGUCUAGGUUUCAGUGGAGAAAUCCUAAUGCUUCAGAACCAUCACAACAGUUUGGUUCCCCUAGGCCUCAAUUGGGAAAUCCAAAUGCUUCAGAACCACCCCAACAGUUUCACUCAUCUGGGCCUCAAUGGAGAAAUCCAAAUGCUUCAGAACCACCCCAACAGUUUCACUCGCCUAGGCCUCAAUGGAGAAAUCCAAAUGCUUCAGAACCACCCCAACAGUUUGGUUCAUCAAAGUCUCAGGUUUCAUUUGAAGGAGUAUCUCACUGGAGACAACCUACCACAUUAGAAUCAUCACAGCAAAGAGAUCAUACUAGAGAAAACAAAAAAAUGCAGAGGAAAAUGAAACUUGACAGGAGGCGUCAGCGUAGAAAUGAAAUACAGGACAAUCCAGUAAGUGUAAGUGGAACUGGGGACAAUGUUGGUGAAGUAGAGCCGGUGAGUGGCAGUGAGUCUGGUCCAGGUGACAUCACCACAGAAGGACCGAGUAGCUUUCAGUACCGGUGUUUUCCAAGGAAGAGAAUGUUCUGUUCCCGAGGACUCUUGGAGCAAAUUCCAAAAUCCUACAUUUUGAAUAGGCUGGCACAAGAUGAAAACGGUGCUGGGGAGCUCUUUCAGGAAAUAUUCAAGGAAGUCCAGGUAGACCAACAGACAGUUUUGUAUAGGACCAAGGUGCUACCUACCCUGGAGAAAAUGCUCAAGUUGCACAAGAGUUGUUCCUACCUGAGACAAUUAAACUACAGUUGUAGUGGACGAUACCAACAGUGUAAAAUGGGAAUACAGGGAAAAGGAGUGAUAAUUGCAGCAAGAGAGAGGAUAAGGAAACAGUCUUACGGAAAACAGGGGCCUAUCUGGAUGAAUCAAAGAAAAGUAGGAAAAAGAUGCUCACAGAAAGUUUCUACCAAAAGGAUCCUGAGUCAACACCUUGGAAUAAAUGAGAUAUACAUGUUUCUGAGACGUGUGUUUUUCCAUGUUAUACCAAAUGAGCUGCUUGGAAAAGCCAACAAGAAGAUGCUUCACAAGUGUUUGAAACUGUUCCUAAAACUUGGCAAAUAUGACAAAUUUUCCAUGGCAGAGCUGAAUGUGGAGAAGAUGAAGGUGGAGAGAGUUCCAUGGCUGGCUGAUAUUGUGUCCAGACCUGAGCAGAUUCACCUUCUAUCACAGGUUGUCUACUGGAUUUUCAAGGACUACAUCAUGGUGCUGCUUAAGUCAUUCCUAUAUAUAACCGAGACGGCACAUCACCGCAACCAGUUACUUUACUUCAGAAAGAGAGACUGGUUACGACUCCACAUGCGAGGCCUGAACACAUUGUUGAACAAGAAGAUGAUGCUGCCGGUGCCUAAGACAGAGGCUUUGAAGCAGUUGGCAGAGGGUGACACCCUUGGUGUUUCAAACCUGCGUUUCCUCCCGAAGAUGAAAUCUCUUAGACCUAUUGUCAACCUAGGGAGAAGACCUCCGCCUGGCUGUAAACAGACUAUCCCGAUCAACAAACAGCUGCUGAACUUGUUAAACAUACUGAGCUAUCACAAGGAGAAGGACCCUGUGUUGGUAGGGUCUGCCAUAUUUGGACUGGACAAAGUCUACCCCCUAUGGAAACAGUUUGUCUCACCAUAUCAACAACGAGGACAGGAAAGAUCAGAUAUUAAGCAACUGUACUUUGUCAAAGUGGACAUUGCAACCUGCUUUGAAGACAUAGACCAAGAGAAGCUAUUCUCUAUAAUAAAAAACAUCAUUCAAAAGGAUGAUGACUACCAGAUCAGGAAAUAUGUGACCAUGCAUGUUGCUGGGGGACAAGUGAAAAGGACCUUCAAGAGAAAAGCAUCAUCAUUGCUGGAAUUCAAUCCCAACUUCACAAACUUUGUUAAGGAAAGGGUGGAGAAGGACGGCUUUACAAACAUCAUGUUUGUGGACCAGGUGGUAACCCAGUCUGAGAGCUCUGUUCACCUGUUACAGCAGCUGAAAUCUCAUUUGUCCAACAAUCUUGUCAAGGUAGGAAAAAGGUAUUAUCUCCAGGCAUCAGGAAUCAGCCAGGGUUCUGUUCUGUCUACCAUCCUUUGUAACAUGUACUAUGGACACAUGGAAAAGGAGUUGUUUCCCCUGUUGGAGGGAGAAGAGCUUCUGAUGAGAAUCGUUGAUGAUUCACUGUUUGUAACACCACACAAGAAUCGGGCUGUGGACUUCCUCAAUCUCAUGUUUAAAGGAAUACCAGAUUACAAUCUCCGUGUAAACACUGACAAAGUUCUGCUUAACUUUCCUCUGUCGCUGGAUGACAGAGUUACCUUUCCUGUGACUCAAACAGAUUGGUUUCCCUGGUGUGGGAUGCUGUUUAAUACUAAGACUCUCCAGGCCAGUAUGGACUUCUCCAGAUAUGCUGGCAUAUGUGUUGCUGAUACAAUGAGUUUUGACCUUUCUCGUGAUCCACUGAUGACCUUGAAACACAAGCUCCUGAAUGCAUUGAAGCCUAAGAGCCAUGUUAUCUACAUGGAUACUGAAAGUUACUCAUAGAUCUUGGGAGCUAUUUCUAUCAUCAGACUCGCACCUGUCUCACCAAGAAGGGUUCAUUACCUGGUGUUUUCAACAUACACAAGGAUGUGGUACUGUG